rnacentral:rRNA from 1 species
GUCUACAGCCAUGCCACCCUGAACAACCCAGAUCCCGUCUGAUGUCAUAAGCUAAGCAGGGUUGGGCCUGGUUAGUAUUUGCAUGGGAGACCACCUAGGAAGAUGGUUCCGUAGUUG